rnacentral:rRNA from 1 species
AUUGAACGCUGGCGGAAUGCUUUACACAUGCAAGUCGAACGGUAGAGGGGGCAACCCCUCGAGAGUGGCGAACGGGUGAGUAAUAUAUCGGAACGUGCCCAGUCGUGGGGGAUAACGUAGCGAAAGUUACGCUAAUACCGCAUACGAUCUAAGGAUGAAAGCGGGGGAUCGCAAGACCUCGCGCGAUUGGAGCGGACGAUAUCAGGUUAGGUAGUUGGGGGGGGAAAGGCUCACCAAGCCAACGAUCUGUAGCUGGUCUGAGAGGACGACCAGCCACACUGGAACUGAGACACGGUCCAGACGCCUACGGGAGGCAGCAGUGGGGAAUUUUAGACAAUGGACGCAAGUCUGAUCCAGCCAUUCCGCGUGCAGGAUGAAGGCCCUCGGGUUGUAAGCUGCUUUUGUACGGAACGAAAAGGUCUCUCUUAAUACGGGGGACUCAUGACGGUACCGUAAGAAUAAGCACCGGCUAACUACGUGCCAGCCGCCGCCGUAA